CUAAUUUUAAUCGUUCCAUAAAUUUUGUUAUAUCUAAUUAAAUGGGUACAUUUGCAGCUGUCCUUACCUAUUCUCAGCUAAAAUGAUAUAAUUAAAAUAACAUUUUGUCUCUUUGAGGGACAGGGGAGUUGAAGUUGUCCUUCCACUUUAUGAGGUUCAGAAUCUAACUUAAUGAAGUCUAUGUGGAAAUGAAUGGGAUUUUUGAAAGUGUGCAAUGAUUCAGUACAUCUGGGAGACAUGUACAUAGAUGCAGGCAGAGGACUACCAAAUCUUACCUCGAAUCUAGUGGGAAACAUCCACAUAUAGCAAUUCAAUUAGUGGGGCUCACCCUAAGAAAAAUUAAUUAAUUAGGUUUUUUUAUUUGGCAUGGCUGUCACUUAGAUAUUUUAAACAAUGUUUUAAGAAAAAAAAAAGCAAAAGCUCUUUUGAGUAGAUGGGUGGAACAUAGCCUGUAGUUUUAGAUAGAAGGUGGAAAAUCAUGAAGAAAUUUGUGUGAGUUUAUGUAUUUAUAUCCAAUACCUUAGCUCUUAAAAAAAAUGAACUUUGGUAUAGAGGUGUAUUCUAACUCCAAAAAGUAAAUUCAUUCUGCUGAAUUAUAAAUCAAUGUAAUAGUAUUUCUAGAUCUUAAAAGAAGCCAAUUAAGAGAGUGAUAAUAUGUAAUCAUGUUGGUUUCUAUAAUUUUUUUAAAUUCUUAUUUAUUCUUGAGACAGAGACAGAGCAUGAACAGGGGAGGGGCAGAAGGAGAGGGAGACACAGAAUCUGAAACAGGCUUCAGGCUCUGAGCUGUCAGCACAGAGCCUUAUAUGGGGCUAGAACCCACAAACUGUGAGAUCAUGACCUGAGCCGAAGUUGGAUGCUUAACUGACUGAGCCACCCAGGCACCCCAAAUUGUGUUGGUUUCUGAUGGAAGUCAUAGAGCACUCUGUUCCUCCCCUACAGUCAUGCUAUACUGGGUAAGAGCACAUGCUGUGACGUCAUAAAGACCUGGCUAUGAAUAUUCCAACACUGAUUAACUGUGAAACCUUCAGGAAACUCAUUAGUAACUAUGAAUCUUCUAACUUCUAAUUUGUAAUAUGAAGAAAAGAAACACACUACAUAACAUGCCAUAUGGAUGAAAUGAAAUGUAGGAAAAAAUAGUUUGAUACAAUACCUGGCACAAAAUCAAUGUUCAGUGGUAAUGGUGAGAAGAAAAAGAUGAUACAGCUCAUUCAAAGUUGAAGAAAAUAAGUUUAUGAGGAUCCUAUCGCUGCUCAAAAAUGAAAACAGGAUUUGAAUCUAGGCCUCCUCUUUCCAGAUUCUUCAUUCAUAACCAUGAAUCAUAAAAAAAAAAACUUCAUCAUGCACAAAUUAUAUUUAAAUAUUUGAAUUUUCUUCUGAUACAUGUUAUUUUUUUUCACUCAUGUUAAAUUAAGAAAAAAAAUUUAAAAACCACCUUUAUGAAAACCAAAAAUAAAUGCUCACUCACAGAGAAUGGAAAACACAGAUUCAGAACCAUGAGCCUUCUUUAAUGAGAAAUGGAGACGAAUCUGUUUCGUGAGUCUUGGACACUUUGGACAGAGCAAAGAUGUUAAAAGCGGACAGAGAAGAGAGGAGAUCGGUGAAAUUGUUUCCUUUGAGAGAACCCUUACAGAUCAUUGGGUACCCUUUCCCUAGCCUUUCUGGGGAAGGUGAAAGAAUGAUACCUUCUGGUGCUAGUUUAGUGAUGUGGGCUUCAAUGGGAUCACUCAGUUAUGAAAUUUGUUUCGUGAAGUUGGCACAUAGAAAAGAUUGGUGUCUGUUCACGUCUGAGAAAGCUAAAGUCGAAAUCACACAGGAAUAAGCUAAAACUGACAUCUGUUGAGGAAAUUCAGAGGGUGAGAGAAGAGAGAGCUUCUGUGUUGAAAUAAGCCUGCUUUUUGAGCUUCUCAGAGCAAAACUUUUUUUCUGGUUGAUCAAGGAAGAUCAUGGGUGUUGGAGAUUUAAAACAGUGCCAUUUGGAGACCUUUCCAAGUAGGUACCUGAGGAGUAAAAAAAACAACCUCAGCAGAAGAAGGCUGGGGAUAUCAAGUGGCUGGUGACCAAGUCCAGUAAGUGUCCCUUUAGAUGCACCCCCUGGGAGAAGAAAUUGCAGAAGUGAGAGGCCCAGUUGGAAUCACUGAAAAAGCCCUAGGACUGCCCAUGACAGAGUCAGCCUGAAAAUCAGGACCAGUGAGCAUGUAGCCAGUUUAGGACUGAGGUCAAGACCAAUCCCUUUACCUCUUCUGUGCUCUACUUCUGUUUGAUCUUACCAAAAGCGAAAACAGCAGCAAAUAAGGAGUUUAGAAGAAAGAGAAAAUACAAGAAGGAGAGACAUCAGCUAAUUUCAACCCUGUCCAUUGAACCUGGCUACUAAGUGCUAGUAUGGGAGAGAGGGAAGAACUUAAUAUUCAGUUACAUUUAGUAAUUUGAUUAAUAGCUGAGGCUUGGUAUAUUAAUUAUAGAAUUGAAACUGUGUCUGAUGUGAAUUGAAACUGUGUCUUAUGGCUGAAUUUUAUCCUUCCAAAAUUCAUAUGUUGAAGUCCUAAACCCCAGCGCCUCAGGAUGUGACUGUGUUUAGGGAUAAAUUCUUUAAAGAGGUGGUUAAGUUAAAAUGAGUACUUAAGGAUGGACCCUAAUCCAAUAUAGCUGAUAACCUUACAAGGAGACAAAUUUUUGACACGGAGAGACAAAUACCAGGCAGGAGUGUGCAUGGAGGAAAGGCCGUGUGCGAACACAGCAAGAAGGUGACCAUCUAUCUGCAAGCCACGGAGGGAAGCAUCAGAAGACGUCAAACCUACCUACAUCUUGAUCUUAGAACUUCCAGACUCCAGAACUGUGACAAACAAAUUUCUGUCACGUAAGCCAUUUUGUUAUGACAACCCCAGCAAACGAAUUCACCAGGUUAAUGUGAUCACAAGACCUGAGUUUUCAUCCUGGGUAAGAAGCAUGUUGAGAGUAUCUUUUUUUCUGGAAUUCUGGAAAUUAUUUAUUAGAAUGUGUUAGUGUAUCCAACAGUGAAAACUAAAAAAAAUAAAAUUAAAAAAUCUGAGGUUUUCUUAAAACUGAA